GAGUUUACUCCUGAGGUGGCGAGCGGCGGACGGGUGAGUAACGCCUAGGGAUCUGCCCAGUCGAGGGGGAUAACAGUUGGAAACGACUGCUAAUACCGCAUACGCCCUACGGGGGAAAGGAGGGGACCUUCGGGCCUUCCGCGAUUGGAUGAACCUAGGUGGGAUUAGCUAGUUGGUGAGGUAAUGGCUCACCAAGGCGACGAUCCCUAGCUGUUCUGAGAGGAUGAUCAGCCACACUGGGACUGAGACACGGCCCAGACUCCUACGGGAGGCAGCAGUGGGGAAUAUUGCACAAUGGGGGAAACCCUGAUGCAGCCAUGCCGCGUGUGUGAAGAAGGCCUUCGGGUUGUAAAGCACUUUCAGUAGGGAGGAAAGGGUGAGUCUUAAUACGGCUCAUCUGUGACGUUACCUACAGAAGAAGGACCGGCUAACUCCGUGCCAGCAGCCGCGGUAAUACGGAGGGUCCGAGCGUUAAUCGGAAUUACUGGGCGUAAAGCGUGCGCAGGCGGUUUGUUAAGCGAGAUGUGAAAGCCCUGGGCUCAACCUAGGAAUAGCAUUUCGAACUGGCGAACUAGAGUCUUGUAGAGGGGGGUAGAAUUCCAGGUGUAGCGGUGAAUGCGUAGAGAUCUGGAGGAAUCCGGUGGCGAAGCGGCCCCUGGA
rnacentral:rRNA from 1 species